UCUUUCUUUGCUGGCGACCGGCGCGCGGGUGAGUAACACGUAUCCAACCUGCCCUUUACUCGGGGAUAGCCUUUCGAAAGAAAGAUUAAUACCCGAUGGCAUAAUGAUUCCGCAUGGUUUCAUUAUUAAAGGAUUCCGGUAAAGGAUGGGGAUGCGUUCCAUUAGGUUGUUGGUGAGGUAACGGCCCACCAAGCCUUCGAUGGAUAGGGGUUCUGAGAGGAAGGUCCCCCACAUUGGAACUGAGACACGGUCCAA
rnacentral:rRNA from 1 species